rnacentral:rRNA from 1 species
CAAUACGAAGCCUUUGGUUUUGUAAUUGAAUUGAGAACAAUGUACAAUCGUUAUCGAUAAACAAUUGGAGGGCAAGUCUGGUGCCAGCAGCCGCGGUAAUUCCAGCUCCAAUAGCGUAUAUUAACGUUGUUGCAGUUAAAAAGCUCGUAGUUGAAGUUUAGAUGAUUUGUUGAGGGUGUUAGUAUUCGUACUAUCUGCUCUUAAUAGAUUAUCGACUUCCAGGUAAGUGUGAUGAACCUUUCGGGGUUUGUUACAUUAGACUGGUCUUUUACUGUGAGAAAAUUAGAGUGUUUAAAGCAGACUUUUUUGAGUUUGAAUAGAUUAGCAUGGAAUAAUAAGAUUGGCUUUCAUAGUCGAUUUUUUGGUUUGUUUAUGAAAGCAAGAUUAAUAGGGACAGUUGGGGGUAUUCAUAUUCAAUAGCUAGAGGUGAAAUUCUAUGAUUUAUGGAAGAUGAAC